AACAAACAAGAUGGCAGCACUGAGUCAUCUGCUAGCACAAGUUUAACAGCUGAUAUUUCAUAUAACACACAUAGCACAAGAUGGUAUAAUCUCCACCCCUUGUCCUCUUGGUAUCUUGUCUCCAACGAUGGUGUUGAUGGGGUAGCCAAAACCUGAGUUGUUUUUCACGACUGGAAGGAGUCCGUCCUGUGUUCUAUCAUUGUUUUUACGAGCUCCUGAUACUGACCUCGGAGGCCGUGUUUGCCGCUAUCUCUCCCAAAGAAUGUCAUGUUAUAUCUGCAACUACCCACACUCUUCUCCCUUAUACUGUGCCUGCUAUUCAUAUUUAUUAGUAAGUUAUAAUUCUAUAACACAUCAUACAAACAUCUAAUAUUCAUUACUUUAUUUCUGUUAUUAGUAUUCCCUUAACAGCCCUUUAUCAAUGUAAGCAUAAUCAAUGUAAGCACAAGAAAACAUAUUUCUAUUCUAGUUAAUAAUCAUACAGGUAAAUAUAUAGAGUAUAAAUCACAGAAUAUCGCAACAUGUGUCAGAUGUUGGUUAGUUAUUCCUCUGCCUCCUUUAAUGAUAAUGGUUCUUUUAUUAACUGUAGUUUAUUUACUGCGCUGGAGGCGAGGCUUAGUGAGUUAGAGGAACGGCACCGCACCACGGAGAUAUCUUUAGCCGCUAUAGUUAGCCAGCCCCCAGUAGCCGGUGCGGCCCAACGAAGGUAGCUUCUGCUAGCCGUCCUCCGGUAGUUCCCCCGGUAGAUCCUCCGGUAGAUCCUGAGCAGCCGGGAAGACAGGGAGGCUGGGUGACUGAAUGAAAGAAGAAUAAAACGCUGAAGCCCACAGUUCACCACCAACCCAUUCAUGUUUCUGCUACAUUGUCCCCACUCAGCGACACACCCGCUGAGGAACCAACUCUGGUUAUUGGCAGCUCCAUAGUCAGAAACGUGAAGUUAGUGAAGCCAUAGUUAAAUGUAUCCCUGGGGCCAGAGCGGGCGACAUUGAAUCCUAUUUAAAAUAGACUGUGUCUGUCCCCCGACCACCUAAAUUAUUUAAAGAAAUACAAACAAGAGGAGUUCAACAUAAAAACCUAAUAAAAAUUAAAUCUCCUCAGUAGCACAAAAUAAAUGAAUGAAAUGUGGACUGUUAAAUAUCAGGUCUCUGUCUUCAAAAGCUGUUUUAGUGAAUGAA